GACAGAGGCCUCGAGCGUUAGGCGGAAUCACUGGGCUUAAAGCGUGUGUAGGCGGAAUGGUAAGUACCUUGUGAAAUCCCACGGCUCAACCGUGGAACUGCUUGGUAUACUGCUUUUCUUGAGCCACUUAGGGGCAACCGGAACAAACGGUGGAGCGGUGAAAUGCGUAGAUAUCGUUUGGAACGCCAAUGGUGAAAACAGGUAGCUGGGGCUGUGCUGACGCUGAGACACGAAAGCCAGGGGAGCAAACGGG
rnacentral:rRNA from 1 species